rnacentral:lncRNA from 1 species
AAUGAGUUCCUUGGGUUACAAGAGGCUGGAUCUGGCUCCUGGCCAGUGGAGACCUCUCCUAGGAUUCCAGUCUCUGUCAUCAAAAGUCAUUACUUUUUGUACAAAUACAGCACCCCUGCCCUGCCCAGCCCUCCCUGGAAGCAUUGCAGGAUUCCUGGGAGCACAGUUUGCUAACUCCAGCCCUGGGAACUCUACAGACUCGGAGGUCAGUGCCUGGAGGAGAGAUAGUUUCUACAAGAUGGUGCUGAUCUGAUGCACAGAGAAGGGGAGGGGAGAUGAAGGCCUGGAGGAUGAUGGGCUGAACUUGGGCUGGCAUCAAAUCUUUGAAACCUGAGGGGGCCAGAGACCUGGAAGGAUGUGCUGUGUGUCUUCUUAGGAUAAACAUCUUUUGGCAACUUGUAAGCAUCAUCCUAAGCUGCAGAGAGACUGGAUCUGGCUUUUUGAGCAGUUAACUGGGUCUUACACUUCCGGCUCACAAGUACUCAUGUCCUUGUGUUCAUUCAGCCCUUCAUUCAACAAAUGUUUACUGAGCACCUACUAUGUGCCAGAUGUUGAAGUCCAAAGAGGUGAACAAUGGAAAGACAUCAGCUGUGAGUCAGUGGGGAGUGUCUGAGGAUGGAGGCGCUAUGGCUCCCUGGAGAUCUCUUGGUGUGUCCACAUGCCGGGUGGGUCCACGGACAGGAGCUCUUCUGGUGCUUCCCUCACUCCCCACCCGACCCAUGCAGUACCCACCCUCUGCAGCUGGGCCCUCCAGCUGGCUCAGCUCAGCCCUGUUUCAUGUUUAGUCGGUCUUUGAUCUUCACUCUUUAACUAAAGCCAGAGCCAGGUGAAACCUGAUUUUAUCCUUUUCUCAAAUGUGAACUAAGCUCAAAAGAAAGAGAAGGCUGAUAUGGACCCACAUCUAAACUCACAUCUGAAAUAAAAACUUGAGUGGAUUUUCCUGUUGAUCUAGAAUUGGUCACUGGGGCUGAAAUUGAGGACAAAGAGAUG